AAGCGCCGCAACAGCCGGGCGAAGGUUUCCGGAGCAUCGUCGCGAUUGGUGAUGAUGCUCGACUGCGGAUCGUAGAAGACGACAAGAUCGAUA
rnacentral:sRNA from 1 species